AGAGUUUGAUCCUGGCUCAGGAUGAACGCUGGCGGCGUGCCUAACACAUGCAAGUCGAACGGAUGCAGCAAUGCAUUAGUGGCGCACGGGUGAGUAACACGUAGCUGACCUGCCCUUCAGUGCGGGAUAACGGUUCGAAAGGACUGCUAAUACCGCAUAAGCUCACGGGGUUCAGAAGCCUGUGAGAAAAACUCCGGUGCUGAAGGAGGGGGCUGCGGUCCAUCAGGUAGAUGGUAAGGUAACGGCUUACCAUGCCGACGACGGAUAGGGGGCCUGAGAGGGUGACCCCCCACACUGGAACUGAGACACGGUCCAGACUCCUACGGGAGGCAGCAGUGAGGAAUAUUGCUCAAUGGGCGCAAGCCUGAAGCAGCGACGCCGCGUGGACGAUGAAGGCUUUCGGGUCGUAAAGUCCUUUUUUAGGUGACGAGCAGGGACGGUAGCCUAAGAAUAAGUGUCGGCUAACUACGUGCCAGCAGCCGCGGUAAAACGUAGGACACAAGCGUUAUCCGGAGUUACUGGGCGUAAAGGGCGUUUAGGCGGGUGAUUAAGUUCGCUAUGAAAGCGCCGGGCUAAACUCGGCGAGGCUGGCGGAUACUGGUCAUCUGGAGUGAGUCAGAGGAAGGUAGAAUUCCGCGUGUAUUGGUGAAAUGCGUAGAGAUGCGGAGGAAUACCAGUGGCGAAGGCGGCCUUCUGGGACUCAACUGACGCUGAAGCGCGAAAGCAUGGGGAGCGAACGGGAUUAGAAACCCCGGUAGUCCAUGCCGUAAACGAUGUGCACUAAACGUUCGAUUUCCGCGAGGGAAUCGGGUGUUGAAGCUAACGCGGUAAGUGCACCGCCUGGGGAGUACGGUCGCAAGGCUAAAACUCAAAGGAAUUGACGGGGGCCCGCACAAGCAGCGGAGCGUGUGGUUUAAUUCGAGUCUACGCGAAGAACCUUACCUGGGUUUGACAUAGCAUUGAACAAAGCUGAAAGGCUGCGGUUCCCGCAAGGGACAGUGUUACAGGUGCUGCAUGGCUGUCGUCAGCUCGUGCCGUGAGGUGUUCGGUUAAGUCCGCAAACGAGCGCAACCCCCGGGGUUAGUUACACGUGUCUAACCCGACUGCCCGUGGCAAACGGGAGGAAGGUGGGGAUGAUGUCAAGUCAGCAUGGCCUUUAUAUCCAGGGCUACACACACGCUACAAUGGCGUAUACAAUGGGUAGCGAAGCCGCGAGGCGGAGCCAAUCCUGCAAAGUACGUCUCAGUUCGGAUUGUAGGCUGCAACCCGCCUGCAUGAAGUUGGAGUUGCUAGUAACCGCGCGUCAGCACAGUGCGGUGAAUACGUUCCCGGGCCUUGUACACACCGCCCGUCACGUCAUGAGAGCUGGUGAUGCCUGAAGUCGGGAAGCGAACCGCGAGGGCGCUACUGCCGAGGGCGGCACUGGUGAUUGGGACGAAGUCGUAACAAGGUAGCUGUAGCGGAAGCUGCGGCUG
rnacentral:rRNA from 1 species